rnacentral:rRNA from 1 species
CAGUCGCCGCGGUAAUACGUAGGGUGCAAGCGUUAAUCGGAAUUACUGGGCGUAAAGCGUGCGCAGGCGGUUUGUUAAGACAGGUGUGAAAUCCCCGGGCUCAACCUGGGAACUGCAUUUGUGACUGGCAAGCUAGAGUGUGGCAGAGGGGGGUGGAAUUCCGCGUGUAGCAGUGAAAUGCGUAGAUAUGCGGAGGAACACCGAUGGCGAAGGCAGCCCCCUGGGCCAACACUGACGCUCAUGCACGAAAGCGUGGGGAGCAAACAGGAUUAGAUACCCCUGUAGUCCCUGUCUCUUAUAC